GUAAUUGUCGAUCUCCGUGCUCUCUAUGCAUAUGUAGUUCAUACCCCAGGGUUCCAGCGAGUCAGUGAACUGGUUUGUUGCACUCAAUAACUUCACGGAAUGCCAGAGCUGAUUUGUUUUGGAGCAGAGGAGGGGAAUAGAGGCCAGCUCUGGAAACAGAGCUGUGUUCCCAUGGUCCCAAAGAAAAAACUUGCCCUAAAUUUUAGGUGACAUUGAGGAAGGGACCAGACAACUCAUGUGCUGGUCACACACCAAACCCCACCUGGGGCCUCCACUCAGCAUCCUUGGGGAAUUCUGGGCCCCUUGACCCUUCAGCAGAUUGCUGAGAUCAGAUAGUGUGCUGGGAUGCAGGGAUGGGAGCCUGUGAUAUGUAUGGAGACCACUCUGGGUUUGUGCUACAGAAAGACGAAGCUGGCGAAGCAGGAUGCAGGUAGAUGGCUUCUCUUUCUGCAGCUCUGUGUCUCAUCUCUGCAAUGGGAAGGAAGAGUCCUUCCUGGGGCCCCGGAGCACACCUGCCUCAGCACCCGUCUUGAGCAGGGCUCUUCUGAGGCUGAGUCCUGGAUGAAUAGUCUAGGGCAAGAGGAUCAAAGAUACUCCAGGGUAACUGGGCUCAAGGGGUCGACUGAUGCUAACUCACAAGAGUUAAGAAUUGCCCUGGAACAAUUUACAGAGCAGCGGUUCCUUUUCCGUGGAUGGAGACUUCUCUCUGCUCCUUGGAGCUCCUUCUUGUUCCAGGAUGAUAUGGAAAGUGAUUCAUCAGGCCCAAGAACCUGCUAUGAGGGAUAAAGAAGCUCGUGACAACUCAACCCUUCCCAGGGAUGUUUGUGUUCAUCUAGGGACCAGAGUUUUAAUUUUGGAAUCUGAAGAGGAGAGUCCUUUCCAGGAUUAAACUGUCCUGACAUCUGUAUUCUUUCAUCGGAAUGCCUCCCAGGUUAGCACCAUGGAGAGAAAACUCACUUUCAGGCAAAACCCUGGAUGAGAUUCUGGAGGGCAAAAUUCCACAAGCAGAAUACAGAACUGACCCUUAAGAAAAACCUUCCAAGUUCCUCCUCAUUGUCACUGUCUUUAAAUCACAAAAUGGGGCUCCUUUUGAUUACCCAGAGCAGCACAGCACCAGAGGGAAAACCUGAGUCUCCAUGGCGACUAUUCCUGCAGUGUAUAAUAAAAUUAAUGGAUGUACUCA
rnacentral:lncRNA from 1 species